ACGGUUCUCUUACAUCUAUAAUUAGAGCCCUUGUCACUAAUUUCUCUUGCUUCCCUAAUUCCAUGGGUUAGUUCCCCUUUUUUCCUUCCCAUCUCCCCUCCAUCAGUGUCAUUAUUACUUUUUGGUACCCCCCAUCUGGCUCUUUGAAAAACUUGGGGUCUUGCUGUCAUUUUAUACUGUGAGGGCCCAUGAAUUCUAUCGUGUUCUCCUACUUGGCAGAGCCUUUUUAUUUCUGCAUUCCCUUUUCCUUCCCAUCUUGCAUGUUCUGAAGGCUGGAGGUCUUCCUCCACACAGUCAACACUGAGCUAAGUAAGUGGAGGACAUUGGAGGAGAACCCUAGGGUGGGCAGAUGGGCUGGAAGAGUAUCAGACAGGGGCAGUGGCCUCAACAGGCAUGGGGAAAGUUGUAAACUUCCCCUACAUCACCAGCAUCCACCCCUCAUCCAUUCACCCAUUUUUUUCCCACUGAACACAAAUUUGCUUUGUGCCAGUUACCAUGUUAGGUACCAGGGAUGACGAUGAAUAAACAAACAUGGCUCCUGCCUGCACACAGCUUAUGGUCUACAUGGACGAUCCCAUCAAAGCAAUAUGAUUAAGGCUCUGCAGAAAGGGGUAUCUUGCUAAUUCCAUGCUGAAGGCACAAGACCUACAGUUCUCGUCUUGAAGCCAGAACACAGUGCCUCUGCUAGCAUGUUGAAAUGAAAGGGAUGCAGAUGAGGAAGCAAGCUGAGAGAUGAAAAGCUAGUUGUCCGAGGCCAUGCUGCUUUCAGUGAGAGCCAGGAUUCAGACCCACAUUUACUGCCACUAACCCCCUACGUGGUGGCCGUCUCCUCUCAGAAACAUGACAGAUAGAGGACUAAGUUAAAUGGCACCAAGAAGAAGCCACCCAUCAAAUCCAGAAGAUGGAACAACUUUCUUGGCUUCUUUAACAGAUCAAGUCUCUCCCUCUAGGAUGGUGUUUUGCCUGGACUGUCCAUUUCAUCUGUUUGAACAGAAAAUGAAAAGACUGGUGUGGCUGAAUCUGUGCCUCUUUGGGGCACAAUAUCUGAGCAAUGAAUGUAGCCAAAAGGAUCAUGCUACUGAUGUGCAGAGAAUCACAGGGUGGGAAUCUUAGCUGUUUCUGAGACGAGUCACUUGGAGGCUCCUUCCCUCCUCAUCUGCUGUUCCUCUUACCUCUUGAGACUGUCUUGCUUUCCGGUAUAUGCGCAAAGGACAGCACGGGGGGUUGAGGAGGUCACACGUGGGUCGGAGGCAGAGCUGUCACCUGGGCUUGGCUUCCUGGGGCAUGCAGGGCACUCAGCAAGGAGCUUUCCUCCCCUGUCUCACUUUCCCUGGGAGACACCACGCAGGCCUGUCAGCCUGGAGCUGACUUGACUGGUGGGAUCUACAAAUGGCAUAAGCUCAGUCCUUGGGGCCUGACUGGGGCUCUGCGCCUACAAUAGGGGAAGGGUAGAGCUGGGAGGGCGCUGGACAGGAAGAACGGGUGUGGGAGUCAGGUUGAGGAGUAGACUUGGAAACCCAGGAAAUGACUAGGAGAGAAACACCAGCUAAAAGCCUGACAGCCCAGCCAGGGUGGCAACGGAGCCAUAGGAAGGAUCUUUGCAAACAGGAAGAAGGGUGAAGCCAGCCGAAGAAGCCACCGACCAUCAGAAUCAUGGGGCCCGCAGGAGGCAAGAAAUCCUGUGAUAGGAUUUCCUGGGCCUUUAGUCUCUGGGGAUUUAGUCUCGGCUCGCCUCACACAAAUGGUUUGUGUAGGGCAGUUUUUUUUCCUUCUUCUUCUUUAGAAUUUUUUAGCUUUUUCUAGCAAAUGAGCCUUUUGGGGACCUUAAUAUUUAGGAAUAAUUUGCAGGAUAUUGAUGGAUCCAACCCUAGCUUCCUGAGCAAUCCUAAAUCAUAGUGUUUAUUGAUAAAUGAUUUGCAAAAUGACAGCAUCAGCCUUCUUUUAAAACUAAUUUGUGAUGCACUGAAAUUAGGAUUAAAUAAAAUAUUUUCUUAGUUAUAUCAGUAUUAUAUUUAUUUCCAACUACAAAAUGGUAGUUCAUUAGUUACCAAAAUUUUAAGGCCUAAUGAUGGGUCUAUAUAUUGAGGGUUGGCAUGGGACUUCCAAAGGGGCCUACUCCCCAUCGUCCUGAGGGCAAAUGAUUUAAGAGAUCACUCAAUGCAGAUUACAAUAAAAAAUAGAAAUGUAUGUCUUGCUUAACAUAUGUUUGCAUGUAUGUGUAACAUAUUCACAUGCAUAUUACAUGUUUGUAAUGCAGAGACAUUGGGAAGCUGAUUGCAGAUGAUUUUGCUACUUGCACAAAUUUAUGAGCAUUAUCUCUGUUUUUAAUUUUGAUUUCUGUGGUCUUUUCCAUAGGCGAGCCUAUUCCUUGGCCCUAGGAGCAGGUUUUGACCUUUUCAGCUCCUUUAUUCAGUUUGACAUUAAUUUUCAUCCUUUAUUCUUAACAGGUUUUCAUUGUACUUAGUGAACAAUACAGGGGCCCUGGGGGCCAAAAUAAACCCAUAAAGUGCCCAUGGAUUUUAACCAAAGACUGGCAGCACUCCAUGAUUAAAAGCUUUAAAUUCUCAAAGAGCAACAUGAGUAAUCCAGUACCACGGUGCUGAGUGGCCUCAUACUGGCUUCAUUUGUUGGUAUUGUUAUUUUCCUUAGUUACAUUUGAUUUGCUGGAAUGAUGAUGAUUUUAGUUUGUGCCAUUAAUGUGAAGCUGUCUCUGUACUGCAAAAAUGCCUUAGCCAUUUCCAUAAUUUUUUAAACUACUCAUAUCUGACUUUGGGAGGCAAAAAAAUGAAGAAUCAGGUACGAAGGUAGAUUGACUUAAACCAGCCACCUGGGGCCUUCUACCAUGAAGGCAAGUGUAUCUGCAGAACGGGAGGUGGAUGGUUCAGAUGGUUUUCUAUCCUGGUUUGUUUUCUACACAGCUAUUUUUAAGAUCUCUGGGACCCUAAAGUAUUCCUCAAUGGUCCAUUCCAGUGUUACAAUAAAAAAAGUACAUGUGGCAAUUUCUAGCUGAACUUUACUUCUGCGCUUUCUCCUUUGCCCAUUUUUACAAAAAUAGAGAAAAUCCAAUUGGUAUCUUCUCUGUAAUAGUGCUUCAAAUACCCAAGGGUUGCUAGAAAGGUAGUUUUUGGCUCCGUUUUUACAGGUCAAAACACCCCUGUCUGUUAUCAUUAAUCUUUCAUCACAGAGCUUGUUGUAUAUCUUCAUUGUGUUCAAUUUCCGUAUUCAUUUUUUAAAAACUUUAGCCCCCACACUGGUCGCAAUGAAGAGUGUCACAACAUGCAUUUGAACUGAGGAGUUGUUUCACUUCUUGCUUCAUAUUAUUCUGAAGAGAAGACUGUUGUUACUAUCAUUAUAUCCAUAUGGCUACCUUUUCCAGUUGCUGAAGAUAAAUCUUCAGCUUGAAAU